UGUCACAACAAUACAAAAAAAAAGGAGCAUUUCGCUUCAGUUUGAUGUGACCACUUAUUAGUAUCAUCACUCUCAGUGCAUUUCAAAUCCCAAGAUCAUUGUUUGAGUGGAAGUUUAG